AACGAACGCUGGCGGCAGGCUUAACACAUGCAAGUCGAGCGCCCCGCAAGGGGAGCGGCAGACGGGUGAGUAACGCGUGGGAACGUACCCUUUGCUACGGAAUAGCUCCGGGAAACUGGAAUUAAUACCGUAUGUGCCCUACGGGGGAAAGAUUUAUCGCCAAGGGAUCGGCCCGCGUUGGAUUAGGUAGUUGGUGGGGUAAUGGCCUACCAAGCCGACGAUCCAUAGCUGGUUUGAGAGGAUGAUCAGCCACACUGGGACUGAGACACGGCCCAGACUCCUACGGGAGGCAGCAGUGGGGAAUAUUGGACAAUGGGCGCAAGCCUGAUCCAGCCAUGCCGCGUGAGUGAUGAAGGCCUUAGGGUUGUAAAGCUCUUUUGUGUGGGAAGAUAAUGACUGUACCACAAGAAUAAGUCCCGGCUAACUUCGUGCCAGCCGCCGCAGUAACAC
rnacentral:rRNA from 1 species